CUUGCACACUCAACCCCAGUUCAUCACCGUGGGCUCUAAAGCCAACCCUGGGCACAAGGAAAGUCAGCAGAGCCAGCGAGAACCCUCCCCNGACCAGGAGUCCCUGGCUCUGGGGAUAGCUGAACUGAAGCCACGGCCUUGUUGAUGCACGGGCCUGGUGUCCUUUGGGCAGUGCCCUCCCUCCAUGGACAUUGUCUGUUGGAGGCUGGUUACCUUCAGCAAGUUCUGGAGGGAGUUCCCCUUUGUCCCAAGUUGGACAGGGCACAUAGCAGCCAGGCAGCCUUCAGGGCUGGCCCUGGGGCCCUCUGCGGGAGACAGCUUUGGUAGGCAUGAUGCCAGCGAUAUAAGUAAUGUAAUCUGUCGCCCUCUCCGCGUCUAGGGGAAUAAGCAUGUGUCUCAUGGGCCAGGAUAGGCGCAUCAGCUGUCACAUGACUCGAAGUGUGUCUCAGUAGGCAGAGUGGCUGCCUAGCUUGCUCACAGCCGCGGCUUCCAUCCCCAGCCCACAAAAACCAGGUGUGAUGGNGCAUGCCUGUCUGUAGUCANAGCGUGGAAGUGGAGGCUGGAGGAUGAGUGGCCAGUCUGGGAUACACGAGCCUCUGGCGUUUUAAAAGGGGGUGGGGGUGGGAAUAAGAAUUAUGACUGACAGCUUGUGUCUCUGUGUGAGGGACCCCUGGUUCCAAAUGGCUGGCCCAGGAGGCUUUGCUGAGANGGAGCUGGGGGCAGAGACAGGGUCAUCACUGGCCCCUGUCCG
rnacentral:misc_RNA from 1 species